rnacentral:rRNA from 1 species
ACGCUCGACACCUACGGGAGGCAGCAGUGGGGAAUAUUGCACAAUGGGGGGAACCCUGAUGCAGCGACGCCGCGUGAGGGAAGAAGGUUUUCGGAUUGUAAACCUCUGUCUUUGGUGACGAUAAUGACGGUAGCCAAAGAGGAAGCUACGGCUAACUACGUGCCAACAGCCGCGGUAAUCUGAGCGGGCUGGCAAGGC